rnacentral:lncRNA from 1 species
ACUGGAAACUGCGCUCAUGUCACCUGCAGCAUAAUCCAUGGCAUUCUUCACACCACCCUGCCAUGUCUUGCCUCAUACCGCGCUUUUGUUUCAUGUAUUAACAUACAGCAAUUUAGUAACUUGCUUCAUUGUUGCAAUCCAUUGUCUUCCCCAUGACAAUAGAACUGAUUUUUUUUAAAAUAUUAGAAUGGAUGGACCUAACCCAAUGGAGUCACUUUGAAGGAAAUAAUAUAUCACAACCAUAUAUUUGUACUUGUAUGAUGUUAUCAUUGCUCAAAACACUUUUCUAAUUCAGACAUCUUUCUUUGUGAUCACAUCUUAAAUGCCUCUAAUCUUCAAUACACCUAAAUUCUUAGAAAGCAGAAACUGGGUCAGGUACUCCUUUGUUAAAGCUCUACACGCAGACCAGAGACACACGGAAGUAAAGUUAAGGAGUGAUGAACCGGGAUGAGACAUGACAAAGGGACCAGCACACAGAGGUGGGGCAUCAGGGGAUGGGAUCUGGCAGAGAAGUGACACCAGGGAAGCCGUUGAAGGCGGGCACGUUUUCCGGGAGGAGGAGACGAUUAAGUCUGCACCACACUACUUCAGCCAAAUUCCCCAUGACAUCCGCAACUCCACCAGGUUCUGUUUGGCUCAUCAGGGAUCCCUUGAAAGACGGGGGCUCUCAGGAGAAAUAAAGUGAAAAGUAUUUCUUCUCCUUGGUCUCAGAUCCUUGACCGGAGCAGAAACCUGGAGCCUCUGUGGGAAGACCUGUAAGCAGGUUCUCGGCUUAGCUAUACUUUGUGCAGAAUAUAAACUUGAAGACAAGCAUUCUUGAGCACUGUAUUCUCUCUGUAUGCCUAGCACUUCUAUGGUGCUGGCACAUAGUAGGCACUCACUGAAUGUUUGUUGAAUGAAUGAAUGUUAGCAAGUCAGAGCCUUCUAGAAGCAGGCAAUAUUCUUUCUGUCUCACUCUCUAGGCCGUGAGUACUGAUAGACUGACUUGACCUGAAGGUGUGAGCUAGAUGCAUUCUUACUUGAAUGAAUACUAUCAUUUCCUUGAAAGCUUGUGCGCUGACAAACCAGUUCCCUGGUGUAAAUGUAAGACAAUUAAAGGACAGAACUGAAGCGAAUGGAGUAAGAACCUAUCGUUUUGAAUGAGCUUCUCUCGUUUCUGACAAUAGGUUUUGAUUAAACCAAAUGUUUGAAUAUUUAAAUAAAUAUUUAAAUGCACAUUUAAGUAUUUAAAUAGCAGUUACAAGAAAUAUGUUAUUUCAAUUUGGGCAAAGGCAGCAGACAGCUGAGACAAGAAACCACACAGUGACAUGCAAAACCCAGGAGCAGGAUGUGUUUCCCACGCUAUGCUGUGACAUGGAGCACUGGGCCAAGUAGGUUUCAGCCUUUAUCCCUUUGUCUAAACUCAUUGCUGACACCUGGUAAAUUUGAAAAGUCUUAACUGAUUUCCAAGAAAUUUUGAGUACUACAUUGAUUUUGUUGGUUUAUGAUUUGGUAUUUUUUUAAUGCUGCAGCUGCUUUGCUCUUACAAUUUUUUUUUCUUUUUGUCUUUUGUCUUUUUAGGACACACCCAUGGCAUAUGGAGGUUCCCAGGCUAGGGGUUGAAUCGGAGUUACAGCUGCCGGCCUACGGCAGAGCUACAGCCACAGCAACGCGGGAUCCAAGCCACAUCUUCUAACUACACCACAGCUCACGGCAAUGCCAGAUCCUUAACCCACUGAGCAAAGCCAGGGAUCGAACCUGCAACCUCAUGGUUCCUAGUCAGAUUUGUUUCCACUGUGCCACAACGGGAACUUCUGCUCUUACAAAUUUGAUGCAACACAACAAAAGAAAACAUUUUUUCACUAGCACUGAAUUUUAGUAAAAUGCGUAAAAUUUGAUUUAUAUAGGCAUCAAGACUACUCCUAGUAACAAAUGUUCCAAAAAUGUAUCCCUUUAAUUGUAGAUAAAUGCGGAUAAACACAUUCUAUAUGGUUUUGAAGCCAAGCAAUCCACAACUCAUUCAGAACUGAUGUUUGCUUGGAAUAUAAUCCCAGUGGAAAGCCAUGUUUAAAUAAUAAAAGUAUUUUCCUGUGAAGCUUUUGAUAAAGGCUAAAGAAAAUAACUUGUAUUUAUACAGCUAAAGCAGAAAUAUUUUAAAAUGCUUUUUAGGGUAGCUGCUUAGUGACUUUUACUUCUAAAUUCUGAAUUCAUUUUUAGAACUCUACUCCAAAAACAGAGAUUGUCAAGUGCUUCUGGCUGUAGGUUGUGGUUGCAUUUGGCUAGGUUUCUUCAAAGACAGGAAGCAUAAGAAACCAUUGACUCAGACAAAGGCACCACCCUAGGUUCUUGAGACCCACAGUGAGUUAGAGAACCAAGCCCAGUGCUCUCCCUGGGAGCAGUCCUGCUAUCAUUGGGGGACCGUCCAGCUACCCAGCUUUCCACUCACCUCUGAAAGACCUCAGGGCCAAUCCCAUCACACCUCACACCCACGAUCCCCAUGCCCUCACCUCCCCACUGCUCCCUCUAUGCCUAAUUCUGACCUAUUCUUUCCUUUGCAAAUCCUUCAAAUGGAUGCUUGGACCUUUCGAUCAGCAACCCUCCCUGUAUCCUCUCUUCUUCUCAUGUCCCAAAUGAAAACUUAGCUCUCUCCUUGGAAACUCUCUGGCCUCUGCCUUCUCAGCCCUCUGCAGCUCCAGGUUCCAUUAGGGGUCUUUUGGGUUCCAAGUGCCACUUCCAAACCAUUAUUCACUUAUUCUUGAUCCUGAGAAAUCCCUGACUCCUUCUCCCUCUCCUCGCCACUGACAUCUCUUCAGGUUAUAAUCAUGUCCUUCAUUUUGUGAAGAACUCAGCUCCCAGCCAUGGAAACCCUUGGCACCCUAACUCAUUAUCAUCCUUUUUCACUUCAUAUGGUCUUUAACAAACACAUGAAGGAAGGAAAAAUAUAUGCAAGAUGUUCAAUGUGACCAGCUUCAAGCAAACACAAAUUAAAACAAAGCCCAUCAAGUUCAAUACUAGCAAAUUUUCUAAUUAUAAGCUGAAUAAUAUUGAGUUCGUUGCAGAGGUGGAAACAUGAGAAUUCUCACACACGAAUGGGACUGUACAUUGGUCCAGCCACAGAAGAGAUUUUGCUGUAAAAGCCACAUUGGAGAUAAGUAUAUCCAGAAAUACUACUUUUAGAUACAUGUACAUGGACACAAAAUUGGAAAGUUGAUUUCAUUAUUGUUCACAUCUUGAACAACCCAAAUGUCCAUCAAGAGAUGAAUGGGGAAUUAGUUGUGGCUUCUUAACACACGGAAAUAAUAUGUAGCAAUUAAAGUACAUAUACAAAAAAUAAAAACAUGAAUUUGGAUAAAAGUUAUCACUGGGGUAAGAAAGAGGAUGGUAGGACUGCAGAUGGGUACAAAUGUCUUCAUCUGUAUCUAUUACUAUAUUUUAUUUAUUACAUUAAAAAAGACAUGUAGGAGUACCACGGUGACUCAGCAGGUUAAGGAUCAGCAUUGUCGCUGCUGUGGCUCUGAUCGCUGCUAUGGCUCAGGUUUAAUCUCUGGCCCCAGAAUUUCUGAAAGCCAUAGAUAUAGCCAAAAUAAAAAAGGAAAGGGACAACAGUAAUUAACACAACAUGAUAGGAGUUCCCGUCGUGGCAUAGGGGAAACGAAUCCCACUAGGAACCAUGAGGUUGAAGGUUCAAUCCCUGGCCUCACUCAGUGGGUUAAUGAUCUGGCAUUGCCAUGAACUGUGGUGU